rnacentral:lncRNA from 1 species
UCACUAAACUCGAUUUUGGGAUAAGGGUUUGUAUCCAAUUAAGUUUGUUAAUGAUGGUAUGUGGUGGUAGCCGGCUAUUGUAGAUUUGAUUGAAGAGGCGGUGGACGCUGAGAUGGAACUUCAUUAAGUACAUAGAAGGGAAACAUGGCCAACCCAAUGGAAGGAAAUCCUGCAACUCUGUUGGACUUUUGUAGCUAAGCAA